UUGAAUUUGCAAAGAUUCUCCUGCCUCAGCCUCCUGAGUGCUGGGAUUACAGGCGUGCGCCACCAUGCCCAGCUGUACUUCUAAAUUCUUUAGAAGGCACCUGUCAUAAGACCUUCUGGCAAGUAAUCAUAAGAUGUGCAUAACUCAGAAUGUCUGCUGAUCUUCAGAAAACAUCAGAAUGUGGGUCAAAAAUUGGACCUGUUCAGGAUUGAUUACUCUGUAGCUAUUCUAUCCAUCUGUGGGUAAAAAAAAAACUUCCUCAAAUUUCCUGUAUAAAUUCUUCACUUGCAAUUAUUAGCUAAGCUAAUCCUUUAGGCUGCCACCUUCCAGUGAGUUGGCUCUUUGCAAUAAAGUUUUUUCUUUACCACUA